GCCUGGGUGGCUCAGUCAGUUAAGCGUCUGACUUCGGCUCAGGUUAUGAUCUCGCAGUUUGUGGGUUUGAGCCCCACGUUGGGCU
rnacentral:tRNA from 1 species